rnacentral:rRNA from 1 species
UCAGGUGGCCGCAGAGAAUAGGCCCAAGCGACUGUUUACCAAAAACAUAGGUUUCUGCUAAGUCGCAAGACGAUGUAUAGGAGCUGACGCCUGCCCGGUGCUGGAAGGUUAAGGGGAUCUGUUAGAGUAAUCGAAGCAGUGAACUUAAGCCCCAGUAAACGGCGGCCGUAACUAUAACGGUCCUAAGGUAGCGAAAUUCCUUGUCGGGUAAGUUCCGACCCGCACGAAAGGCGUAACGAUUUGGGCACUGUCUCAACAACAGACUCGGUGAAAUUGUAAUUCCGGUGAAGAUGCCGGAUACCGGCGACAGGACGGAAAGACCCCAUGGAGCUUUACUGUAGCUUGACAUUGGGUCUUGGUACUACAUGUACAGGAGAGGUGGGAGGCUUUGAAACCAGGACGCCAGUUUUGGCGGAGCCAUCCUUGGGAU